UACGUAGGGGGCUAGCGUUGUCCGGAAUUAUUGGGCGUAAAGAGCUCGUAGGCGGUCAGUCGCGUCUGCUGUGAAAAACUCGGGGCUUAACUCCGGGCCUGCAGUGGGUACGGGCUGACUAGAGUGCGGUAGGGGGAGACUGGAAUUCCUGGUGUAGCGGUGAAAUGCGCAGAUAUCAGGAGGAACACCGGUGGCGAAGGCGGAUCUCUGGGGCCUUUACCCUGACGCUGAGGGAGCGAAAAGCAU
rnacentral:rRNA from 1 species